rnacentral:lncRNA from 1 species
GCUGGAAGAAUGGUCCGAACAGGGAAGUGGGCAGUGAGCAGGCUGUGGAAGGGAUCCAGGAGAAGGAUGGUGAUGGCUUGGGUUAAAACAGUGCACAGAGAGAAUUGGAGGAUGGAAGAGCAAUUUAAGGGGUACAAGUGGCAGGAUAAGCUAGCUGCAUAGACGCAGAAGUGAGAUAUUCAAAAGAGUACAAUCAAGGAGGUGCCUCGUCUUCUGAUUCAGACAGUGCUUGAAACUUGGUGCUAUUUUUUUUCUUUUCUUUUCUUUUUUUUUUUUUUUUUGAGAAGAAAUAUCUUGCUUGUCCCCCAGGCUGGAGUGCAGUGGUGCAAUCUCGGCUCACUGCAACCUCCGCCUCCUGGGUUCAAGCAAUUCUCCUGCCUCAGCCUCCUGAGUAGCUGGGAUUACAGGCACCUGCCACCACGCCUGGCUAAUUUUUGUAUUUUUAGUAGAGAUGGGGUUUCACCAUGUUGGCCAGGCUGGUCUCGAACUCCUGACCUCAGGUGAUCCACCUGGCUUGGCCUCCCAAAGUGCUGGGAUUACAGGAGUGAGCCACCGCACCUGGCCGGUGCUAUUUUUUAAACUAGAGGAAACUAGAAGAGCAGCAAGCUGGGAUUGAGGAGAGGGCAUGUGGUUAUUCAUUUAACACACCUUUCGUAGGUGUCUUCCUGUGCCAAGCACUGUUCUAAAGUACCAUAGCUCCACAGCCGUGCCAAAGGGAGCUCACAGGUUAGUGGGUGCAGUGAGCAAAGAGCAAUGCGCCGAUGACGAUGAGUCCCAGUGUGGACAGGCUGUUUGCAGCACCCGGAGGACAUCUCAGGACGCAGCUCCAUGUUUUGGUCUGGCAUUCCUGGGAGGGAUCUGUGCUGGGAAUAGAGGCUUGGAAUUCAACAGCUUAUGGAUGGUGACUGAGGCCUCCGGCAGGGAUGACACGGUCCAGGAUAGGGGGAUGAGAAGCUGGGCUAACACCCGCCCUAAGCAACACCUGCUUAAAUGGAUGGGGAGGGGGUAUCUAUCUGAACUGAGGAGUAAAUAAAGAAGCAAUAUACAUUGUCUUCUAGACCACUUAGGGUAAGACUACAAGCAUUGGCCACACCUCACAUUUCAGGGCAUGUGGAGUCAUGGAACUGAUUUCAUUCAACAUUUUAAUUAACUAAAACUGUUUUCUUCCCUUGUUACUAAUUUUGCCUUUAGUCUGUUAAAUACUUGGAGGAGCUGAAAUUUCCAGCCUGAAGAGUAGCAGUCUCAGAGGCCUCUGUCUCCAGAUAUCUGCAGGGCUGCACCAGAUCAGAGAGAGAAACUGUGCUCUGUGCCCUCUGAGCAUGGAGCUGAGGAUGAUGAAAAGAGUCACUGGGAGGCUGGAUUUGGUUCAGUGAGAGAAAGCUGUCUAGUGAUGACAGAGAUGACCCUGAAAGGUGGUGAGCUUCCCAUUCCCAGAGGUAUGUGAAUAGAAACCUUGAGCUUCCAGAAGGAGGUGGGCAGUGAGAGGUGUUGCAGGCAUGUUUUGCCAGCCACACAUUGGACACCCCUUGCUCAGUCAAGAAGCCACAUCCAAACCCUCGGACCCUUUCACACUUGGAGCUUUUGUUUGAAAGGUCAGACUUCAACCCUCAAAAUGAAGAUGACUUUAAAAAGCUGGAGAUGGACCAAAAAGUAAACAAAAUGCAAUUAUAAUUUCAUAGAUGGAAAGUAAAACAAAUUUUUUUAAAAAGAAGAAGGAAAUAAAAUAAUACAUAAAUGGGUGAUCUGGGCUGAUUCUGUGAUUUUUUUCUUCUCUUUCUGUUCUUUCCAGAGUUUCUAUAAUAAAGAUUAUUUAGUUGAGGGGAGGGACAAAUUUGUAGUUUCCAACUAAACAAAAUAAGUGUGCAUUAAAAGACAAAAUCAAGUCAUUUUUCGGAUUUUUACUAAUGCCUUUAAAUAGCCCAAAAGUUGAACCAGAGGCCCACUUUGCCAGAGAAUCUGUCCACAGCCAGGCAGGGCUGCUAGGGCCCAGUCUGCCUGCUUUCUGUAAUUGGAGGCUUCCCCUCCCACAUUCUUCCGCAGAGGCUUCCACGUGCCAGCACACACACAGGAGACAGCUGUGGUCCUGCCUCCAGCACAGUGUGGCGAGAGAAGCAUGUAACUUCUUGAAGGAAUGCCCACUAUGUGCCAGGCACUGUGCAAGGUACUUUGGAUUCAUAACCCAUUUAUUCCCCACAAUAUAAGGUGAGUGCUAU